AUCAUGGUAGAAAUACCAGGUAGCAACAUAGGUGAAAAUUACAACAAAGCAACUUUUUUAGAAACUUGAUAUGUCAAAGUUUUAACCAGGGCGAAUUUAUUUGAAGUAUAAAAUUUGGGGCAAAUUGGUUUGCACCAAUCAGAACUCUUCAUUCUGAAACAUUGAAUAAGUUUGUUUUGGUUUAUUCAUAUGUAUAUAUUAGUUGAGAUUAGUAUAUUUUUUAACAUAUAAACUGAAAAUACUACAAUAACUGGAAGUGUAUACGUAUUAUAUAGUCAUAUCGCUAGAGAAGGACAUUUGGAGGCGACCCGUCCGUCUGUCUUGCUGGUGCGUACGAUAGCUGUAGAAUGGAUCAUCAUCCAAACAUAGUGCAUCGCAAUAUUAUUAACAAACAUAAUGCGGAGAUGGGCAAUGUCGUCCCACUCCUUCCGGUUCCUCCCUCACGACAUUUUUAACAGCACAGAAUCCAGUGCGAAAAUACAAAAUAUAUGUUAUGUUAUCACUUAUUUUGUAUUCUCUUAAUAAAAUAAAUAAUUCUCCUUGUAGCAUUAGAUAUAGGUUUUUAAGAAAUGUGUAAAGAUUCCAAGUUAUCCUUUUGUAUUAGAAUUAGGGUUGAUGCUUUGCCAUUAAAAGUGAGUAAAUAAUAAAUGUA